rnacentral:lncRNA from 1 species
GAAAAAUCAGCGCGGAAGAAGAGCGAAAAGCUGAGCUUGAUGCGAACUCUGGAAAAUUUAAUUGAAGCCGAAAACUGUCACCCGGGUACCUUUACAGAAGAUAUCAGAGAGUGCAAAGGACAGCUGCUAUCAAUCCUGGAGAAGGAGUACAAAGGUGCUAUGAUCCGGUCUAGGACGGAAUCGCAGC